rnacentral:rRNA from 1 species
UACGUAGGUGGCAAGCGUUGUCCGGAUUUAUUGGGUUUAAAGGGUGCGUAGGCGGCUGUUUAAGUCAGUGGUGAAAGCCGAUCGCUUAACGAUCGAACUGCCAUUGAUACUGAAUAGCUUGAGUACAGAUGAGGUAGGCGGAAUUGACAGUGUAGCGGUGAAAUGCAUAGAUAUUGUCAAGAACACCGAUUGCGAAGGCAGCUUACUAAAGUGUCACUGACGCUGAGGCACGAAAGUGCGGGGAUCAAACAGG